CCUACGGGUGGCAGCAGUGGGGGAUAUUGCACAAUGGGGUAAACCCUGAUGCAGCGACGCCGCGUGUGGGAAGACGGUCCUCUGGAUUGUAAACCACUGUUCCCAGGGACGAAGAUGACGGUACCUGGGGCGGAAGCUCCGGCUAACUACGUGCCAGCAGCCGCGGUAAUACGUAGGGAGCGAGCGUUGUCCGGAAUCAGUGGGUGUAAAGGGAGCGUAGGCGGGACUGCAAGUUGGGUGUCAAAUCUACCGGCUCAACCGGUAGCCGCACUCGAAACUGCAGUUCUUGAGUGAAGUAGAGGCAGGCGGAAUUCGUGGUGUAGCGGUGAAAUGCGUAGAUAUUAGGAGGAACGCCGGUGGCGAAGGCGGCCUACUGGGCUUUUACUGACGCUGAGGCUCGAAAGUGUGGGGAGCGAACAGGAUUAGAUACCCCUGUAGUC
rnacentral:rRNA from 1 species